UACACAGUAAAAUAUUUUCUGACAAUAUCAUAAAAUACCCAUGUUUUUGAGCUAAUAAAAUAUAAUAAUGGUUAAACGGCAACUACCCGGCACCAGCCUAUCGGAUUGCUUCUAUAAUCAGACAGGGGCAAAUACUCACUUUGCCCCUCCCCUAAAUGACGCCACUGGAAGCGGCUCGUUGACGGAUGGUCUCGAGGUUUUCGAUGUAUACGUGUGGAGACACAAAAAACCUACGGAGGUUACACGCGUGUGUCGUUUGCGAGCAGUACACCAAGGAAUCGAUCGAUCGUCACCGUGACGCUGUCGAAAACCAAUAUGACCAAGCGUCCUAACCCGGUUGUCGACUAUGGAGGGAAUUUAUGAAGUGAUGGCAUAUUAUCAGUCUGGUUACCAGUAAUCGUUUGAAAAAAUAUUAUCAUUAUACGUAUCUAGUAUUCAGCCUGCAGGCAGCACCAUAUUAUUAUCAGUAUCGCGAAUAUAAAUUGUUGUAAGUCCAUAUAAAUACCGUUGUGUUCACUGUUUACCUUUUGGCUUCUAUCUAUAUUAUUAAAAACAGUUAAUGGAAAUCGAAAUUAUUGUUCAUUGUUAUAUCUCUCACCUUGUGUAUUUCACUACUGUCCUCCUGGUUGCUGUCUGUUGUUAACUUUUUACCGAUCACUCAUUUCCCUGACAAAUUUCAAACAUGGACAGAAUAGUGCUAAAAUUUCUAAGCCUCGAUAAUAAACAUCAAUAAUAUUCUCCAUUAUUAAAGUGAAGUAGAAGUUGGGACUACAAUUCAUUCGAAUGAAGAGGGCCUAUAGCAAUUUUAGUUACCACGGUCCACGGUCCAUAACUGAAAAAUAAUCUUAAUACUUUGCAGUGUAAAUAUUUUGAAGUAUGACAAAAUGUGCUCAACAAUAUUAUUUUUGAAAAACAAAGUAUAAAUUUAAGGGAGAAAGAAUGUAAAUAGAUUUAGAAAAUUAAUUCAAAUUAUGAAACUCAAAAAAUAACCACAAGUCUACAACCUUCUUUCAUAUGAGCACUUUUUCAGUUGUAACUAUCAAACUCCAUCAGCAGUAACAGUUUUUCAAGACCAAAACAGUAAUCAAGUAAUAUCUUCUAUUAUCCCCAUCUGGUAUAGGAUAAAAAGUAUUUACAUUUUUUUAGGUCUAAAUGAAUUUAGUUAUAAUGAUAGCAUUGUCGUAUUUUAGAAAAGUCUUAAUUUAAUUUAUUUAUAUGGUAACUAUUUUGUUAUAUAUACAUAUUAUUAUAUUAUAUAAUUUUACUUAAGUAUGUAAUUUAUUUAAAUAAUGAGAGUAUAAUUUUUUACUUAAAUAUAAUUUGUUAAAACAACAGAUAUUAUAGACACUUCCCUCAGUAAUUCAAACAGUGAAGUAUUUCUAAAUUCUCAUUUGUUGUUGGAUAGCACUCAAAUAAGUGAAGUUAUUAAAGUAUUAUGUACUAGAAGUACAUUUUUUUUUCAUUGUUUCAUUAUUUUAUUACCAUUUUAUCACAGUAAAAUAAAGUUGGAAAUGUUAAUUAAUUAGUAUUUUGUUUUGUUUGUUAUAUAUUCUAGCAUUAUAUUUUAUUAAUAUCAGAAAAUAUUUAUUAAGUUUUAUUAUAGUUCAAAAAAAUAUAAAAAAAUAUUGGUUGAAAAUUGCUGGCAGAUGAAAAUCAAAGAUCAACUUAAAAGCUAUUUCCCAUGAAACAAAUGCAUGACAAAUUUAAUCAAUGUUAUAAAUCUAUUACAUCCUCAUCAAGUUGUACACAUAUUUAUAUACUUCUUGCCUCUUGGCUUCCACUAUCUAUAGGUAAAAUGAUUUACAAUAUUUAAAAAUCAGUGGGUUAAUUAAUGUUAAGUGUUCUUAUUUUGUUCCAUAAAACGAUUAUCGAUUUAAAAAAUUAUAUUACAGUUGAAUGAUUAUUGAUAAUUGGUGAUGAUAGCAGUUUCUGUAAUCUACAUUGCUAUAAAAUACUAAAUUAUUUUUAAACAUAAAAUUUUUAAUAAAUUCUAUUUAUCUCAAAUAAAUUUAUAUAUUUAAAUUACAAUUUCUUGUAUUAAUAACAAUUAAUUAUAUUUUAUACUAUAACAUUAAUAUUAUUAACUUAAUUGUAUAAUAUAAUUAUUAUACCUAUAUUUAUGACAGUUACUAAUUUCGAUUUGUAUUUCCAAUGUUUUUGAUUGUUGAAUAUAAUAUUAUUGUUAAAAAAAAGUAGUAACAUUUUAAUUGUAAACAUAAUUAGUCUACUAAAUUUAUUAAAUAUUUAUCAUGUUUGUCUAUAGUAUUAAAUGUCAUUGUUAAUAAUGCUUAGUUGUGUUAAUAAUUUACAUAUAAUGUAAUUAACUUAUAAAUAUUUAAGUUUAUAGACCUCAUUAUAUUAUAUUAUGUUAUUUUAAAAUUAUAAUUAUAAUUAUGUCUAUAUGCCACAAAUAAUUAUAAAUUUUUCAAUUUGUUUUACUUAUAUGAAUACAUUAAUUUAAAUUAUUCUAUUAAAUUUAUUAAUUCAUUAUAUCAUUUUUAAAAUAAUAUAUCAAUAUUUUUAAUUAUAGUUAGUGAAUAUUCAGUAAAAAUAUUUUAAAGGUUGGUAAUCAACAGUGUAAAUAAUUAAUCUGUUGGCAUUCGUUUUAGCCUAAGCAAGUAAAAUAAAAGUUUUGGUUGAUCUCAAGACGCUGAAAUUAUGGUAUCUGUUGCAUGUACUUACGUAUGACUUUUAAAGCCUAUUGUCUAUUACUGAAAUUCACUAACUCAUUUAUGAAUAAUUUAACUAUUUUUUCCUAUGAGUCAUUUGACAUAUUAUUAGAACAUCCUUUUAUUUUUUUUUAUUUUAUUUCCUAAAAUAUAAAUUACAGUUUAUCAAAGAAGUUUAAUAAUUUUUUGAAUUAGUUAAAUUUCAUUUGUUUUAAAUUAUUUAGUAUUAUACUAAAAAUUUGGUCAUAAGUAACUACUUUUGUGCUCAAGAAUAUAAUAUUGAUUUAAUCUAUUCUGUAAUAAUAUGCUACUGUAACAAAUACUAAUAUUUUUUAGAUGUAUCAACUUGGAUUUUGAGAUAAAAUCUUCAAUAAAAUUAAUACUUUCAUCAUUUUCAAGAUAAUGUUAAAUUUCAAUUACUCUUAUUAAGAAACAUUGUAUUAUUUAACCAUUUUUUUUAAAUUGUGUAUUACUAUCAUUAUCAUAUUCUGGAAGAAUCAGUUGUAUGCUUGCAAUUUUAACGAAUAUUUCUCUUAUAGACUUGUGUUAUUUGUUUAUGAUCUAGUUACAUGUCUUACACUAUUAACAAAUAUAUCAGUGUCAUUUUUUGUGGAUGAUAAUAUGAUAUCAAUGCUGAUAUGAUUUUACAUCGUCUACAGCAGGGGUGGAUCUAGAAAUUUUCCAAGAGGGGGUGGUGUAUAUAAUAAAAAGUAAUAUACCUAUAUAUACAUAAAUAUAUUUAAUAUGUAUUUGUUAUAAAUAUUUUUUAGUUAAAAUAAUAACUAUUAAUUAAUUAUGUAUUAUAUUAAUAAUUUAACUUAAUUAGUACUGCCGUAUUAACUUCGACAGUGUUAGUGAUGUUACCGAGAUGACAUAAUUUGCAGUUAAUUAGGGAGUAUGUAGGUUAGCUAUCGUAUCUUAUCUAAAUUAGAUAUGGGUUAUAGUUUAAGUACUCAUUUUCACUAAAUCUGUAGAGCAUUAAUAAUUGUAUGUAGAAUUUUAAAUGAUAUAAAAUAUUGUAUUAAUUUAAAGUUAUAUAAUAUUAUUUAAAGUUAGUGUUAUAAAAAAUACUUUAAAAAUAAUGUUCAAAUAUUUUUAAAACAGUAUUUAAGACUAAUUUAAACACCUACUAUUUUUUGUUUCUUUUACUAGAAAUAAAUUGUUUUAACCUAGGUAUUAUGGUUUUUUUUAUUGUAGUUCAAUAAUUUUCACAAUACUUUUUAUUGGUAGUAUGAAAAAUAUAUUUAAUGGAAGUAUUUAAUAUAAUAAAAUAGUAUUAAAGUUUAUUAAAGUAGAAAGAGUUUUAUAUUUAAAAAUGAAAAAAAGAUAUAGGGUAUUUGAUAAGGAAAAUGCAUAGAAUGUUAGGAAUAAUUUAUAUGAAUAUGGAAUGGAAAUAGAAUGUGUCAUCUAUUCUAAAAUAUAAGAAGAAAGAUAUUAUUUUCCGGAUAAUUUAUGUGUAUUGUAGAUUAAGUAUUUCUAAACCAGGUGGAAAAGAUAAGUUAAUAUUCCAAACUAUUAUAAUCGUAAAAUUACCUAAUUGAAUUAAUAAUAGUGCUGUUCAAUGUUCAUUACAAAAAACAUUUUAGUUAGCCAUAAUAAUUAUAAGUUUCAGGGCCGGAUUUAGGGGACGGAUAGCUGAGUGGGCUGCAGCUCAGGGGCCUCCACAGUUUUAUGCUAUUUUAAUAAAAAAAUAUAUUUUCUUGUUUAUGCAUAAGGGGUCCCCACAAUGUAUUUCGCUCACUGGCCACCACAUACCUAAGUCUGCCCUUGGAAGGUUUAUCAAUAAUUACUAAUUAUAAUAAAAAUAAUGUGGAAAAGUAAUUAACUCUUUAGGUUUGAGGUUCAAUAAGUAAAAAGGUCAUAUCAUAAUAUAUUUUAUAUUUAAAAAAUAAAAAUAUUUUGCCGCGCACCUUCGAAAAUGUAACACACUACUAGUGCCCAUGUGGUGGAAAUAUGAACUAUUUAACCUGUAUAAUAUUAUCUAAGAUUUAACCUAACUUGGUUUGUACGCUCAGGGGCUGACGAUAGGUAACCCGUAUUUCUUAAACCAUGAUAUUAUCAUUUAUAAUCAAUUCGACGCUUCGACGGUCAGAUAGUCUAUUUGAAUUUCACGGUUUAAUUCAAUAAUCAUAAAUUGAAACAAAAAUUUUCUGAACAAGCUGUUACUAUCAUCUGCUCGAGUAAUAAGUUUGGUGGUAAAGAGUUUUACUUUAUACCUAUUCAGUUAUUUAUAACAACAGAUAACUUCAUCAUUAUGGAAAAUAUUGAUGCACUUAUUAAAAAAUACCAGUUGAAAGAAUGUUGUGUUGUACUAAACAGAAUAAACUAUGAUCAGACACUAACAAUAAAAAAUGAAGCAGACGAUAGUACUGAAAACAAUAUUGAUGAUCAGAUUAAUGAAUCUUCAGCGAAUCAAACUUGUAAUGAAUGUUAUAGAAUUUUGAUGAUCCCUGCCAAUACAAAUGAGAAAAUGAAAUCUUGUGAUGUCUGUCUUAUGGAAUAUUCCAAAAAGAAAAAAUUGUAUGAUCAUGUCAAAAAAAGCAUGCUGGAUAGCUUUUUUAGAUGUGAAAUAUGUAAUUUACCAUUAGAUCGAGGCAAUAUUAUUGUUAAUGUUAACAUGGAUUGGGAUAAACGUGAAAAAUGUAA